rnacentral:misc_RNA from 1 species
AUCUGGAGGAUUUUCACGAGUUCUUGCAUAAGUCCUCAUCUACAAGAAAUCAAUUAGCAUAUCAAAUUAUUAUAAGAUGAUUGUUAUAAUACCAACCAGAUGCAAAAUCUUCAGCAUGCAUAACGUUUAUAAUGGGAAAAUUAGCUGAUUACAUAAGAGGAAACUUCAACAUCUUGAACACUAUGUCACUAAAUUAAAUCAUGUGAAUUAAAAGCAAAAGUAACCAAGCAAGAAUGUCACAUUGGACUAGACCAAAGGAAACACAUUACUGGCCAGUUCAAGCCUUUUCCAUGGUUUCUUGAAACAGUGGGGGAAAGAUCUUACUAUAACAUACAACAGAUUUUCCUGUUUUCUGUCUUAUUCGACUCCAACUAAUUUGGGAUUAAAGCUUGGUUGUUGUUGUUGUAUGCAUCCUUUGGUAUGCAUAUACCUCACUGAUCUAAGAGACUAAUCAUGAUAUGUGAGAAUGAAUUAAUCACAUUUAACAGCACCAGAAAUUAAUCACAUUUAACAGCACCAGAAUUCCAGCCUUUCCAGGUAGCUUUUAGGCCCUAACCAAAAGUAUAACCAGGGACUUUGUGGCCCAAACAGCCCAUUGGUGGAGAUAAAAUUUUUAUUUAUUCAAGAACAAUUCAUCAAUUCAUGGACAUGAUGUUACCUAACGAUCCCAUUCAGAACCAUCAACCAUGGAAAUUGAGAUAACUGAGGAAUCAGAUACUGUACAUACCUUAGUUCCAGAGAUGAAGAGGAA